rnacentral:rRNA from 1 species
CUACCCUUGACAUGCCACUAACGAAGCAGAGAUGCAUUAGGUGCUCGAAAGAGAAAGUGGACACAGGUGCUGCAUGGCUGUCGUCAGCUCGUGUCGUGAGAUGUUGGGUUAAGUCCCGCAACGAGCGCAACCCUUGUCUCUAGUUGCUACGAAAGGGCACUCUAGAGAGACUGCCGGUGACAAACCGGAGGAAGGUGGGGAUGACGUCAAGUCCUCAUGGCCCUUAUGGGUAGGGCUUCACACGUCAUACAAUGGUGCAUACAGAGGGUUGCCAAGCCGCGAGGUGGAGCCAAUCCCAGAAAAUGCAUCGUAGUCCGGAUCGUAGUCUGCAACUCGACUACGUGAAGCUGGAAUCGCUAGUAAUCGCGGAUCACCAUGCCAAUCUAGAUGCAUUCGCGAUGCCCAUUGC